GUUUGAUCCUGGCUCAGAUUGAACGCUGGCGGCAUGCCUUACACAUGCAAGUCGAACGGCAGCAUGGGUGCUUGCACCUGAUGGCGAGUGGCGAACGGGUGAGUAAUGCAUCGGAACGUACCCGGAAGUGGGGGAUAACGUAGCGAAAGUUACGCUAAUACCGCAUAUUCUGUGAGCAGGAAAGCGGGGGAUCGCAAGACCUCGCGCUUCCGGAGCGGCCGAUGUCGGAUUAGCUAGUUGGCGGGGUAAAGGCCCACCAAGGCAACGAUCCGUAGCGGGUCUGAGAGGAUGAUCCGCCACACUGGGACUGAGACACGGCCCCAGACUCCUACGGGAGGCAGCAGUGGGGAAUUUUGGACAAUGGGGCGCAAGCCUGAUCCAGCCAUGCCGCGUGAGUGAAGAAGGCCU
rnacentral:rRNA from 1 species